rnacentral:rRNA from 1 species
AACGAACGCUGGCGGCAGGCUUAACACAUGCAAGUCGAACGAGCACGACCUAGCUUGCUAGGUACGGCUAGUGGCAGACGGGUGAGUAACACGUGGGAACCUUCCCUUUAGUCAGGAAUAGCUCCGGGAAACUGGAAUUAAUACCUGAUAUUCCCUCCGGGGGAAAGAUUUAUCGCUAAAGGAUGGGCCCGCGCUAGAUUAGCUUGUUGGUGAGGUAAUGGCUCACCAAGGCUCCGAUCUAUAGCUGGUCUGAGAGGACGAUCAGCCACACUGGAACUGAGACACGGUCCAGACUCCUACGGGAGGCAGCAGUGGGGAAUAUUGGACAAUGGGCGAAAGCCUGAUCCAGCCAUGCCGCGUGAGUGAUGAAGGCCUUCGGGUUGUAAAACUCUUUUAGCAGGGAAGAUAAUGACGGUACCUGCAGAAAAAGCCCCGGCUAACUUCG